rnacentral:tRNA from 1 species
UAAUAAAAGGGCCGAGGUUUAAAGCGGAAAAUUGUACAAUUUAUUACCGGGGGAUUCCCUUUUAUUAA